UCCUGCUGCUUAUGUCACUGUCAAGGCUGGAAUAGCUCUCGGAGAAUUGGAAUCACUGGGGGAUCUUUACGACUUCAACUCCAUUGCCACUUUAUUUCUCAUUGGGGUUGUCUCUAUCUACAUUGAUGAGCAAGAGUAAAUCAUAGCUUUAUACUUGAAGAACUUGCUGCUUGUACAUGGGCCUUCUUUAUCCUGGCAGCUGUCUAGGUGCC
rnacentral:misc_RNA from 1 species